CAGCCGCCGCGGUAAUACGAAGGGGGCUAGCGUUGUUCGGAAUUACUGGGCGUAAAGCGCACGUAGGCGGAUUUUUAAGUCAGGGGUGAAAUCCCGAGGCUCAACCUCGGAACUGCCUUUGAUACUGGAGAUCUUGAGUUCGGAAGAGGUUGGUGGAACAGCUAGUGUAGAGGUGAAAUUCGUAGAUAUUAGCUAGAACACCAGUGGCGAAGGCGGCCAACUGGUCCGAUACUGACGCUGAGGUGCGAAAGCGUGGGGAGCAAACAGGAUUAGAUACCCCCGUAGUCCCUGUCUCUUAUAC
rnacentral:rRNA from 1 species